GCUGUGGUCAUAUAGUGGUUAGUACUCUGCGUUGUGACCACAGCAAUCUUGGUUCAAAUCCAAGUCACGACA
rnacentral:tRNA from 1 species